AAUAAUAAACUAUAAAUGAAAUUAAAUUUUAUUUCUAGUAUUCGCACAUCUAGUAAUAGUCAAGUAAGAAAAAUCACAAUGGCUGAAAAUAUUUUGGUCAAGGAUAAUGGAAGUCAAAAUGGAUCAACACCUCUGGUUGAUGAGGAAG